rnacentral:tRNA from 1 species
CCCCCCUUAGUUCAGUGGUUUAGAACGCUCCGCUGUAGACGGAGAGACGUCAUCUGACGCUCCAAAUCCCCGGUUCGAAUCCGGGAGGGGGGACCA